UACGGGGGGGGGUAAGCGUUGUUCGGAAUUACUGGGCGUAAAGGGCUCGUAGGCGGCCAACUAAGUCGGACGUGAAAUCCCUCAGCUUAACUGGGGAACUGCGUCCGAUACUGGAUGGCUUGGAUUUGGGAGAGGGAUGCGGAAUUCCAGGUGUAGCGGUGAAAUGCGUAGAUAUCUGGAGGAACACCGGUGGCGAAGGCGGCAUCCUGGACCAACACUGACGCUGAGUGAGCGAAAGCCAGGGGAGCAAACGGG
rnacentral:rRNA from 1 species